AUUUACAUAGGUACUAUUUACUUGUUAUUUGUUAUUAAGUUCCGAUAGUGUAUGUGUAUGAAAUACUGUCAUUAUUACUAAAUUUAAAGAACAAUUUAUAGAAAGCAAGUUUCAAAACAUAGAACCAGGUACUGGUGUCUUCACCUGGAGGAGGAGCUGGCCUCCAGCCGAAGACAAUCUCAGAUUAAGAGAAUGAACCGUAUUGAGGAAGUCUAACCGCUCCCUUAGAUAGCAAGGAGAGGACGGGUUAAAAAGGACAUUAUGAAGCAGUGAAAGAUUGUCAGUAUACCGUCGAAAAUGAAUGGAAAGCCACUUUAGCUUAGCAGGAAACGGGAAAAUAUGAUCAUAUUUUCUAAGACCGAAAGUAAACCUGAUGAAAACGUUUUGAAGACGUCUUGGUCUUCCGUAAAAUCCAGAUAACAAGUGUUGAAAUAAUCAAGAAUUGAGAGAAGUAAGGAUUGAGAUAUGAAGUAAGGAGUGCAAUUUUGGUAGCUAUAGGCAAGAAAUUACGCAGUAUUCGAAAUGAGCUAAUGGAUCCGAAAACUUUCCUACUGACCGUUUCUAUUUGUGGUUGCCAAGUUAGACAACUGUCAAUGAUCACACCCAGGUCUUUCACUGAUUCACUGAAAGCAAUAGUUCAAUUGGAUACGACCUCGCCUCUAGCGACUGCCCUUACUGUUGGCGAGAAUAAGAAUUGCGGUCAAGUAUUUGUUUGAAACAUAUAAUUUUAAAGAAAAUGUCAUUAACAUGUACAAAAUCCGAAGAUCAGAAAUAUAAGAACGAUACUGAAAAUAUAGCACCUUUAACUAAAUUACGUGUAUGUAUUAAUUUU